GACGGAGGGUGCGAGCGUUAUCCGGAAUCACUGGGUUUAAAGGGUGCGUAGGCGGGGUGAUAAGUCAGAGGUGAAAUCUCGUCGCUUAACGACGGAAUUGCCUUUGAUACUGUUAUUCUUGAAAUAUGUUGAGGUUGGCGGAAUGAGACACGUAGCGGUGAAAUGCAUAGAUAUGUCUUAGAACACCGAUUGCGAAGGCAGCUGACUGGACAUUAUUUGACGCUGAGGCACGAAAGCGUGGGGAUCAAACAGG
rnacentral:rRNA from 1 species